rfam:Felis catus isolate Cinnamon breed Abyssinian chromosome E3, whole genome shotgun sequence.
GCCUGGGUGGCUCAGUUGGUUAAGCAUCUGACUUCAGCUCAGGUCAAGAUAUCGCGGCCUGUGGGUUCAAGUCCUGCAUUGGGCU